AAAUUGUGCUGAUCAUGGCCUCCUACCUACUGGUCUGCAAAUGGGACUACGCCAUGCUGAGCUGCUUCUGAGUACAGCAAUUCCACUGAUGCUGACCAUCACUGACUGUGUUAGCUGCUUCGUUAUCCCAGGAAUGUGCCUGGAGAAGUGAGUACCAGGAGGGAACUGUGGCGAUAAGAGGGGUAACUCUCUUGGCUUAGUGUACAGCUCUUUGACCUCUGUCAUUGCCUGCAGCUUUCUCCAAUUUGAUGGGUUGGCGUAGAUGAUCUUAGUGGUCUCUUCCAUUCUUAAUGAUUCUAUGAUUCUAAUUCUGAGAUACCUCUAGGGCAGAGCACUGUGGAAAUCCCUGCUAUGGUCAUUUGAACACUGCAUGUGUUAAUCCAACAGCUGUACAACAGGAUUUCUUGUGCCUCUCUCCAAGCCGUGGUGGGAGUGGAGUGGCAACCUGGUCACUGACAGCCAAGAAGCAGGGCUAGAGCUUUGGUUAGGUGGGGUUUGUGCUACUUGUUUGUACUUAUAUCUCAUAAAUUCAAACAUUUAGGAGAGUGCAGCAACAUCUGGAGGAUGGUGAAUUGCUACAGUGAGAAAAACUGGAUGAUCUAAAACAGCAUGGCCAGUCCUAGGAAGCUGAGCUGGAAGGAUCAUUUGGGCAUUUCUUCUGCUGCAGGUGGACCAGCAUGGCUGUCGGCUGGGCUCCUCAUGUCUACAGAAGGAAGAGCUAUUGAGUGGUUAUAGCUGAAAGCCUUGCCUGUCUAAGGAAAUGUCAGCAACAUAUUGAAGGUAAUGUAAUUUUGAUGCCAUUCCCUCUAUUUGUAGAACCAAAGGGUGAAUAAGAGA
rnacentral:lncRNA from 1 species